CAUAGAUCUGUAUCACAAUCGCCUGGAAACCCCAGAUAAGGGGACACCGAGUGCCAGCAUCUUAAGAGGGCGGUCCACAUGUGUAAAUAGCAUGUGUUACCAUGGGGGGGGCAAGACCGGUGCCAGCCGCCGCGUAACACCGGCGCCCCGGGGGUGCCCACUAUAUUUUGGGCUAAAGGGGCCCGAACCGGUUUGUACAGUCUUCCCGGAAAACUGACAGGUCCACCUGUUGGGCUCCGGGGAUACUUGUCGGCCUUGGGACCCCGGGGGUAAAGAGGCCUACCGGGGAGGGGGUAAAACUUGUAAACCUCUGGGGGCCCCCCGGGGGGGAAGGGCUUUACCGGACCGGCCCAAGGGGGGGAAAAAAACUGGGGCCCCAACCGAUUUAAUCCCCCGGAAGGCCACCCCGAAACAAGCUCCCUCGGGGUUGGGAAGGGGGACCCUUUCAGGUGCCGCAGGAAAACCGGGGGAAGGACGCACCUGGGAAGGACGGCCCAAGG
rnacentral:rRNA from 1 species